AGAACGAACGCUGGCGGCAGGCUUAACACGUGCAAGUCGAGCGCCCCGCAAGGGGGAGCGGCAGACGGGUGAGUAACGCGUGGGAAUCUACCCAUCUCUACGGAACAACUCCGGGAAACUGGAGCUAAUACCGUAUACGUCCUUCGGGAGAAAGAUUUAUCGGAGAUGGAUGAGCCCGCGUUGGAUUAGCUAGUUGGUGGGGUAAUGGCCUACCAAGGCGACGAUCCAUAGCUGGUCUGAGAGGAUGAUCAGCCACACUGGGACUGAGACACGGCCCAGACUCCUACGGGAGGCAGCAGUGGGGAAUAUUGGACAAUGGGCGAAAGCCUGAUCCAGCCAUGCCGCGUGAGUGAUGAAGGCCCUAGGGUUGUAAAGCUACUUCACCGGUGAAGAUAAUGACGGUAACCGAGAAGAAGCCCCGGAUAACUCGUGCCAGCAGCCGC
rnacentral:rRNA from 1 species